GACGAACGCUGGCGGCGUGCCUAAUACAUGCAAGUAGAACGCUGAAGGAGGAGCUUGCUCUUCUGGAUGAGUUGCGAACGGGUGAGUAACGCGUAGGUAACCUGCCUGGUAGCGGGGGAUAACUAUUGGAAACGAUAGCUAAUACCGCAUAACAUUGACUAUUGCAUGAUAGUCAAUUAAAAGGUGCAAAUGCACCACUACCAGAUGGACCUGCGUUGUAUUAGCUAGUUGGUGGGGUAACGGCUCACCAAGGCGACGAUACAUAGCCGACCUGAGAGGGUGAUCGGCCACACUGGGACUGAGACACGGCCCAGACUCCUACGGGAGGCAGCAGUAGGGAAUCUUCGGCAAUGGACGGAAGUCUGACCGAGCAACGCCGCGUGAGUGAAGAAGGGUUUCGGAUCGUAAAGCUCUGUUGUAAGAGAAGAACGAGUGUGAGAGUGGAAAGUUCACACUGUGACGGUAUCUUACCAGAAAGGGACGGCUAACUACGUG
rnacentral:rRNA from 1 species